rnacentral:piRNA from 1 species
UCAAACCCUGAGAGCCAAGCACUUGUCC